rnacentral:sRNA from 1 species
UAAUGUUCUGAUUUCAGGAGUUCAACCUAAGCCUGCUAGCUCCAUGCUUAAGCCUAGGGAUGAGUGAAAUUUCUGGUGGCCAGAAGAGUCCCCUUUUUGAAGCAGCCCGUGAGGUGACUCUGGCCCGCGUGAGCGGCACUGUACAACAGCUCCCUGCUGUCCAUCACGUCUUCCAGCCCGGCCUGCCUGCAGAGCCGGCGGCCUACUGGAGCAAGUUGAAUGAUCUAUUUGGGGAUGCUGCUCUGUAUCAGUCCCUGCCCACUCUGGCCCGGGCCCUGGCACAGUACCUGGUGGUGGUCUCCAAACUGCCCAGUCAUUUGCACCUUCCUCCUGAGAAAGAGAAGGACAUCGUGAAAUUCGUAGUGGCAACCCUUGAGGUAAGAGGCAGCUCGGGAGCUCAGUGUUGCUGUGGGGAGGGGGCAUAGGGCUGACACUGAAGAGGGUAAAGCAGUUUUAUUUGAAAAGCAAGAGCUCUGACCAGUCCAGUCACUCUUCCAUCUCAGCGUGGCAGUAAGUCUUGUCACCGUCAAGUUAUUGUAGCCAUCCUUCACCCUCGCCUCGCCACUCCUCACGGUGGCCUGUGAGGUCAGCCAGGUCCCCUUCUCCUCUGCACCUACAAUGUUAUGUGCAUCCUAAUUUUAGAGACACGAAAAAUAAUCAUCUGGAAGUACUUUAUGUCUUAAGUUGGCCUGGACAUGUCAGCCAAGGAAUACUUGGUU